CAAGGAUAAGAAAAAAAAAAAAAAAUGUAAAGUGGAAGAUGUAGAUUAUAAACCAUGAAAAUCUAGCAAGUCCCUGUUCUUGCUGACUAGAACAAUAAACUGCUCAGAGAUACCAAUAUUUGGUAAAGGGAGUAAAAUAUACCACACUGACUUAUCACGACAAUCAUUCUUUAAUGCAAUGGCAGUGUAAAAAAUGAUGCACUCAUAUUUUUAGAUCCUGAUGGUCUGGAAAAUAACUUUUU